rnacentral:rRNA from 1 species
GAUGAACGCUGGCGGCGUGCCUAAUACAUGCAAGUCGAACGGAAAGGCCCUGCGCUUGCGGGGCUGUCGAUAGGGGCACGGGGGUGAGAAACGCGUGUAAACCGUCCCUGUAUUUGGGGUAAAUUUUGGGAAAAGGGGCUCAUAUCGGGUAUGAUCUCUUGCAGCGCGGGGGGGGAUGGAAAGUUUCGGCGGUUGUGGAUGGUCUCGCAGGUUAUCAGCUUGUUGGUGGGGUAGUGGCUUACCAAGGCUUUGACGGGUAGCCGGCCUGAGAGGGUGACCGGCCACAUUGGGACUGAGAUACGGCCCAGACUCCUACGGGAGGCAGCAGUGGGGAAUAUUGCACAAUGGGCGGAAGCCUGAUGCAGCAACGCCGCGUGCGGGAUGACGGCCUUCGGGUUGUAAACCGCUUUCGCCUGUGACGAAGCGUGAGUGACGGUAAUGGGUAAAGAAGCACCGGCUAACUACGUG